GAUGAACACUAGCGGCAGGCUUCAGACAUGCAAGUCGAGGGGCAGCAUGAACACUUCGGUGUUUGAUGGCGACCGGCGCACGGGUGCGUAACACGUAUGCAAUCUACCUUGUACAGGGGCAUAGCCUCGAGAAAUCGAGAUUAAUACCCCAUAUCAUCUUUUUGUCGCAUGACGGAUAGAUAAAAGCUUCGGCGGUACAAGAUGAGCAUGCGCCCUAUUAGCUUGUUGGUGAGGUAACGGCUCACCAAGGCGACGAUAGGUAGGGGUUCUGAGAGGAAGGUCCCCCACACUGGCACUGAGACACGGGCCAGACUCCUACGGGAGGCAGCAGUCGGGAAUAUUGGUCAAUGGGCGAAAGCCUGAACCAGCCAUGCCGCGUGCAGGAAUGAAGGCCUUUUGGUUGUAAACUGCUUUUGUACGAGAAAAAUAAGCUCCUGCGGGAGUGAAUGAUGGUAUCGUAAGAAUAAGUACCGGCUAAUUCCG
rnacentral:rRNA from 1 species